GCAGCGUAGCUCUACCACUUGAGAUUCUCCUACUGGAUCAACAUGAACAGGAACUGCACAAUCAAGCACAUCCUUAGACAGUGGCAUUUCAGGAUUAGGUAAUUCAACAGAGACAUCAGAUUUCCAGCAUCCACAGUAUUUUCGCUUCUGAUUGGAGAUGGUUCCACCACAUGACCUCCAACUGUUCUGCACUGAACACGAGCUGCCCGACAUUGCCAUCUUGUCAUGCUAAUCAGAAAUGCUAUUCUGGAGGUUAAUCUUCAAUUUUUGGAUACUCCAAGACAAUCAAAGGUGAAAACAUCAGCACCUACCUAGUAAUGACCCACCAUAACCACUGGCCUUUUAAGAUGACAAGAAAGCAGACAAGAAUACAGCACAUUAUCCACUCUUAGGUGACUCUAGCUCCACACCAAUGUGGCCAACUCUUAACUGCCCUUUGAAAUGGCCUAACAAGUCCAACUCAAUGAUGGGUAAUAAAUGCCAGCCUCCGGCAAUGCCUACACCCUGAGAACGAGAAAUAUAGAAAAGGAAUAAAUGUCAGAAAUCUGAAAUAAAAACAAAG